rnacentral:rRNA from 1 species
UACGAAGGAUGGCAAGCGUUAUCCGGAUUCAUUGGGUUUAAAGGGAGCGUAGGUGGCCUUAUAAGUCAGUGGUGAAAUCUCUCAAGCUUAACUGAGAAAUUGCCAUUGAUACUGUAGGGCUUGAGUACAGAUGCCGUUGGCGGAAUAUGACAUGUAGUGGUGAAAUACAUAGAGAUGUCAUAGAACACCGAUUGCGAAGGCAGCUGGACGAAAACUGUAACUGACAACUGAGG